rnacentral:rRNA from 1 species
AUUGAACGCUGGCGGCAUGCUUUACACAUGCAAGUCGAACGGUAACAGGUUAAGCUGACGAGUGGCGAACGGGUGAGUAAUGCAUCGGAACGUGCCCGAUCGUGGGGGAUAACGCAGCGAAAGCUGCGCUAAUACCGCAUACGAUCUGAGGAUGAAAGCGGGGGACCGUAAGGCCUCGCGCGAUUGGAGCGGCCGAUGUCAGAUUAGGUAGUUGGUGGGGUAAAGGCUCACCAAGCCAACGAUCUGUAGCUGGUCUGAGAGGACGACCAGCCACACUGGGACUGAGACACGGCCCAGACUCCUACGGGAGGCAGCAGUGGGGAAUUUUGGACAAUGGGCGCAAGCCUGAUCCAGCAAUGCCGCGUGCAGGAAGAAGGCCUUCGGGUUGUAAACUGCUUUUGUACGGAACGAAACGGUCCUGGUUAAUACCUGGGGCUAAUGACGGUACCGUAAGAAUAAGCACCGGCUAACUACGUGCCAGCAGCCGCGGUAA